GGCAGCUGAGGGCCUGGGGGAAGGAGGCCUUGAGAUGUGCUGGAGGCUGGGCCUCUGUAGUGCUGGGCUGUGAAACCAUCCCCAGGUCCGUGAGCCAAGCCUGGAGCUCUCACAUGGUUUUCUUCAUACACAUGCACAGUCACCAUGAAACAACGUAAGAGGAAGAGUUAAAGGAAAUGGGGAAUGUUGGCCAGGAAAGAGGGUACAGUGAUCUGAGCAUACAGCUUGGCCACGGGGGCCUUCCUCCUGCCUCAGGCUCCUGCCACUGUCCCUGCAGGUAAUGUGAGAUGGCAGCCAGGCUCAGCCCUCUCCCUAACCAUAGAGAGCCAGCCAUUGCAUUCCUCUGAGAUCCUACUCCACGGUAUGCCUGGCAGGAGCCUUAGUGGUUUCUGAAGAGGACACAAAUGCUGCUGCACAAGUCAGAGGCCCACAGCUCAGCUGGACUGCCUGUUUACCAAGUGGUCUCUGAGUCACCUCCCUGUCAGCCCAGAUAAACCACAAAACAUUUAUUUUUGUAGGUUUUGCUUAUAAAUCAAGGCAAAACAGUAGACAUAAUCAUGUAAAAAGACAGAAGAACACAGACAAGUCAGUUGCCUGUGUGGAUGGCCUUUGCUUCUGUCUUCACCGUGAAGCACAAAUGAAUCUAUCUGUGAAGAAGCCUAUGAAAAUGUGGGUUCAACAAGGGACAUAGACAGCAACAACCAAACGGAGAGCAACAGUUCCUGGCUCUGCCAUUCACUUGUUCUUUGAGGUCCUUCCAUCCUGACUGAACUAUGCUGAAACCUGCUUGUUGAGCUCAUAACCUUCUCUUGUAACUCCUGUGACUGUUCGUCCAUCAAGAUUUUGUUGUUUUGCUUUUGCAGUACUGAGGCAUGAGCUUGCACAUGCUAGGCAAGUGCUCCACUAAGCUAUACCCCAGCCCUUGUCUUUUUGAGACAGGAUCUCACUAUGUAGCCCAGGCUGGCCUAAAACCUGUGAUCCUCAUGCCAUUAGAAGUAGGGUCUUACUAUGUAGCUGGACCCGGAACUUGCUAUGGUGCCCAGCCUAACCUCUGCAUCCUGAGUGCUAGGAUUACACAUGUGUACACACAUGUAUCAGGUGGAAGGCAUGAAUCAUAAUGUUCUGUAGCACAGAAGGACAACUAUGUUUUCCAUAAAUAAACUGAAAAUGUCAAAAUAGCUAACAGAUGGAAUUUUGAACAUUUUU
rnacentral:lncRNA from 1 species